UACGUAGGGUCCGAGCGUUGUCCGGAAUUACUGGGCGUAAAGAGCUCGUAGGUGGUUUGUCGCGUUGUUCGUGAAAACUCACAGCUCAACUGUGGGCGUGCGGGCGAUACGGGCAGACUAGAGUACUGCAGGGGAGACUGGAAUUCCUGGUGUAGCGGUGGAAUGCGCAGAUAUCAGGAGGAACACCGGUGGCGAAGGCGGGUCUCUGGGAAUGACCUGACGCUGAGGAGCGAAAGUGUGGGGAGCGAACAGG
rnacentral:rRNA from 1 species